UACAGAUUUCUCGAGCGUUAUUCGGAAUCACUGGGCUUAAAGCGUGUUUAGGCGGAUCGUUAAGUACCUUGUGAAAUCCCACGGCUUAACCGUGGAACUGCUUGGUAUACUGGCGGUCUUGAGCCAGCUAGGGGCUACCGGAACAAAUGGUGGAGCGGUGAAAUGAGUAGAUAUCAUUUGGAACGCCAAUGGUGAAAACAGGUAGAGGGGGCUGUGCUGACGCUGAGAGAAGAAAGCCAGGGGAGCAAACGGG
rnacentral:rRNA from 1 species